rnacentral:tmRNA from 1 species
GGGGACGCGUGGUUUCGACAGGAAGAUCACCGCUAGAUUGCGGGCCGUGGCGCCGUGCACCACGUAAAAAGCGGCAAAACAUAAACGGCGAACGAGAAUUCGCUCUCGCGGCCUAAGGGCUGCGACUUUCACCCAACCCCGACCUAGCGGGUUGGGUUCGAGAGAUGAAAUGCUAGGUUGCGUUGUUCGGGUGUUAGUGACGAACAUCUAAGGCUCCACUAACUGGUCGCCACACUUGCUACGCCGAUGGGGUGGGGUGGCGAUGAGAUAAAUACCGACGGCUACGCUCGUAGAAGUCGAAACGGAAACCUUUCUGGACGGGGAGUUCGACUCUCCCCCGUCUCCACCA